rnacentral:rRNA from 1 species
CCUACGGGUGGCAGCAGUGGGGAAUAUUGCACAAUGGGGGAAACCCUGAUGCAGCGACGCCGCGUGAGUGAAGAAGGUUUUCGGUAUGUAAAGCUCCAUUAGUAGGGAAGAAAAUGACGGUAACUGAUUCAGAAGACCAGGCUAACUACGUACCAGCAGCCGCAGUCAGACGAAGGGAGCAAGCGUGAUCCGGAUUUUCGGGGUGUAGAGGGAGCGUAGACGGCUGCACAAGUCUGGAGUGAAAUGCCCGGGCUCAACCCCGGAACUGCAUUGGAAACUGUGCCGCUAGAGUGCAGGAGAGGGAAGUGGAAUGCCUGGUGUAGCGGUGAAAUGCGUAGAUAUUGGGAGGAACACCAGUGGCGAAGGCGGCUUACUGGACUGUAACUGACGUUGAGGCACGAAAGCGUGGGGAGCAAACAGGAUUAGAUACCCCAGUAGUC